rnacentral:rRNA from 1 species
AGAGUUUGAUCCUGGGUUAGAAGGAACGAUAGUUAUAUGCAUAACACAUGCAUGUCGAACGUUGUUUUUGGGGAGCUGGGCAGAAGGAAAAGAGGCUCCUAGAUAAAGGUAGCUUGGCUCGCCCAGAAGGUGAGAAGAGUUGACAACAAAGUGGCGAACGGGUGCGUAACGCGAGGGAAUCUGCCGAACAGUUUGGGCCAAAUCCUGAAGAAAGCUAAAAAGGUUGUUUGAUGAGCCAAUGAUGCUUCGCUGGUCAUUUUUGAUGAUCAUCCACACUGGGAUUGAGACACGGCCUUGAAUCCCACGGGGGGCGGUAGUGGGGAAUCUUGGACAAUGGGAGAAAGACCGAUCAAGCAAUAUCGCGUGAGUGAAGAAGGGCAAUGCCGCUUGUAAAGCUCUUUCGUCGAGUGCGCGAUCAUGACAGGACUCGAGGAAGAAGCCCCGGCUAACUCCGUGCCAGCAGGUGCAAUAAGUCAGGGGGAAAGUGUUCUUCAGAAUGAUUGGGCGUAAAGGGAAGGUAGGAGGUGAACCUGUGCUGCAUGGCUAUCGUCAGAUCGUGCCGUGAGAUGUUUGGUCAAGUCCUAUAACGAGCGAAACCCUCGUUUUGUGUUGCUGAGACAUGCGCCUAAGGAGAAAGUCUUUGCAACCAAAGUGAGCCUAGGAGACGAGUGACGUGCCAACUACAAAUUGAGUGCCAGCACCUAGCUGUGCUGUCAGUAAGAAGGUAGCCGGCGCCUUUCGAAGCACUUUCUAUUUCUAGUUAGCGCUGUUUUUUGAUUGCAGSUAGCGCGCUUGACUAAUAAGAUAUAAAGGGCCUUUCUCACUUGUUUAGUAAAGUCAUGUUUUUUGGGCUUAUAUUGCAGGUGAAGACGACGUCGAGCUGACGGGAGAGAAAGACUCGGCAUUCAGGCGAGCCACCCGGUGGUGUGGUACGUAGUGGGUUUAGUACGCCCCGCCCAAACAAACGGAUUUGAAACAAACAAUAAGGUGUGUGCCGCACUCAUGAAGGAUUGCCAGUGAUAUACUGGAGGACGGUGGGGAUGACGUCAAGUCCGCAUGGCCCUUAUGGGCUGGGCCACACACGUGCUACAAUGGCAAUUACAAUGGGAAGCAAGGUUGUAAGGUGGAGCAAAUCCUGAAAGAUUGCUUCAAUUAGGAUUGUUCUCUGUAACUCGGGAACAUGAAGUUUGAAUCGCUAGUAAUAGCGGAUCAACAUGCCGCGGUGAAUAUGUACCCGGGCCCUGUACACACCGCCCGUCACACCCUGGGAAUUGGUUUCGCCCGAAGCAUCAGACCAAUGAUUACCCAUGAAUUCUGUGGCACACUAGUACCACAAAAGCCUUUGGUAGUUUUAUUGGCGCAUACCACCGUGGGCUAUUCAACUGGGGUGAAGUCGUAACAAGGUUGACGUAUGGGAACUUCUGGCUG